ensembl:lncRNA
AAAUAGUCUUUAUUUUCAACAUCCAAAUAAACAAAUCAAAAAUGGCGUUUCAACUUCAACAAUGUUCUUGUUAGGUCAUUAAAUAAAUCAGGAAAAAAGUUCAUACAGCUAGUAAGCUACCAUCAACAUACACAGGACUGUCCCUUUGAUUGGACUUGAUUGGCAUUUUUGAAAGAUGUAGGACAAUGGGAGUUUCUUAGUUGCAACCUCCUCCUCUCCUCAAAACCUCUAAAAAGAAAAUGUUGGGUUUUAAGGUUGGGUGAAAAGAAAAGAGAGAACCUGAGGAGUAAGGAAGGUGGUUUCUUAUCAAUAAAAAUGUCUAAUUUAGAUUAUCGGUUGGAAUGCCCCUUUAAAGUAACUGCCUGGUUAAUUCACAGCUGUACAAUGUUGUUAACUUCUCCAUUACUCGUAUUUAUGGCCAGCAAAAAAAAAAAGGGAGGGAAAAAAUAACACAGCCCAUGUCAAACCUCAUGCAUCUCAAACAGAGAAGUAAAAAAUAUAUAUAUAUUAAAACUUUUCCUCAUAGAUAAUGUCUAAAUCUAAGAGAGCUGGCCAAUAAGCAGUCUACUUGCAUAAUAAUGUUUAGGAACAGUAUACAUCCACUGUCUGACAUAAUUAACACAGGAAGUUAAACUCAUAACUGUAAUCCAUUACAGGUCUUCAUAUCAAUGUGAAAAUACAAGGCAGUUUUUUCAUGCAUUUAUGGAAAUGGUAGCCAAUGACUUUGGAUUAUAUGGUUUGAUAGAAUGUUAGCUAUACGGACGGGAAAGACAUUACCCGAAGGAUGUGAAAAAGUAUGUUAACUCCCAGAAGUUUUUUUUGUUUUUACAUAUUUGGAAACAAGGAUAUUUAAGCUAUAUUCCAAACAUUCAUUAAUAAAAGAAAAAAAAUCAACUUUGAAGCCAAUUAUGCAAUUAGAAUAAACUGAAAAACUAAUUAUGUGGAAGCAGUUAGUGCACACCUUGUGCCAUCACAAUUAGGUACACCCAAAGUUUAGAAAAUCAUUAGCGGGUCCAGCCUACCUUAAAGAUAAGAAACGUUGGUCUGGUUUGGUAAUUACCAUAUGGGUGUGUGGUGACACAUAAUGCCAAGCUCAAACAACCCAUCCAAAGCCCUCAGAUGAAAGAAUAUUGAGGCCCAUGAGUCUGGGAGGGGUUACAAAGACAUUUCUGUGAAAUUUCCACAGAACUCCAACUGUCCCACAUAUUUUCAAAUGGAGAAAAGUCCAGACCACUGGCAAUUUACACAGGACAUAGUUUCACCAAAUUCAUGCCAAAACCUGAUGGAAAAGUUGCUUGUAGUCUGUAAAAACUCCAGGGUAAAACAAUGAAGCAAGAGAGGCCUGUAUAUCCAAAGUGCACCUUUACUGUCAAACAGUGUUAAAGAGAAGAUUUCAUAUCCAAAUUCCUAAACAUGAAAAAAAGACAACAUUGCAGGGGAUACACUUAAAUAUAUUCACAACUGUAUAUAUUUUAGUGACUCAUUAACAUGUAAUGUCCACGUAUAUUAUACUUAAAUUUAGCAGUUUAACUUUCCAAAGAGGACCUUAACCUCCUAGUAGUAAAAUUACGUUUUGUUCUCGCUUCUGUUCGAGGACAGUUAAAGAGAAAGAAAAAAACAGGGAGUGGUUAUGGUAAGGGUGCCAGUUAUUGACUGGUCACCCGGCUAAAGAGCAGAGAGGAAAAAGCAGGAGUCAAUGUCCAAUCGUUGUUCAUUCUUCAAGCAUGUCUGUGUUAGAUGGUUCCUAGCCAUAAAGAACCCCCAAGGCUGGCCAGUUAAGCUCCACAUCGUUGGUUUAAAUCCUCAUCAGUUACAUCCCAGUCCCCUUAAAUUGCUUCCUUUCCUUGUUUCCUUUCCUUUAGGACAUACCGCCAAAGGGUCAUUGUAAAGGGUAUAAUUCCACCAUAUUACUCAUACAAUAAAUUCCUUCCCUUUAAAUCCAUUCCUUCUGCUUCCCGCUGAAGUAUGCACACUACAGCAACAAUUAGCACUGGGCUCUUGUGUCAUUUCGCAUUCAGCGGUUUAGAAGAAAAGGAAUCAAGAAAAGGAAGCUUUUUAAGACAGUUGGCAUACAGACAAGUACAGACAGCGGAGUGCGCUGAGGUGGCCUUCGUUAUCCCAGCAUUGCCUGUUAUUGGCCAUGGCAGAGUUCUAAGAGGGGUUGGGGAGGAGCUACUGGCCAGGCUCAAAUAUCAGUUCACAGGUCAGUAGCUUGGGAAAAAAAGAGACCAAUUUUUGGUCCACUGAUGUCCCAUGAAUUGUCUGCUUGCUUCCCUACUCUUUGUCCCCUGCUUCAGACUGAGAUGAAGACUCUGAUGGGGCCUGGCCCUUCCCAGCAUCCUCUCCUUCACCUGAGAGAGACAGACAGACAAACAGAGAGACAGGUAGCGAGAAAGAGAGGGGAAAUAAAGGAAAUAAUAAAAUUAAUGAUUACU